GACGAACGCUGGCGGCGUGCUUAACACAUGCAAGUCGAACGGAAAGGCCCUGCUUGCAGGGUACUCGAGUGGCGAACGGGUGAGUAACACGUGGGUGAUCUGCCCUGCACUUCGGGAUAAGCCUGGGAAACUGGGUCUAAUACCGGAUAGGAGCCAUUUUUAGCGUGAUGGUUGGAAAGUUUUUUCGGUGUAGGAUGAGCUCGCGGCCUAUCAGCUUGUUGGUGGGGUAAUGGCCUACCAAGGCGGCGACGGGUAGCCGGCCUGAGAGGGUGGACGGCCACAUUGGGGCUGAGGUACGGCCCAGACUCCUACGGGAGGCAGCAGUGGGGAAUAUUGCACAAUGGGCGCAAGCCGGAUGCAGCGACGCCGCGUGGGGGAUGACGGCCUUCGGGUUGUAAACUCCUUUCGCUAGGGACGAAGCUUUUUGUGACGGUACCUAGAUAAGAAGCACCGGCUAACUACGUG
rnacentral:rRNA from 1 species